GCUGUCGUGGCCGAGGGGUUAAGGCGAUGGACUAGAAAUCCAUUGGGGUCUCCCCGCACAGAUUCAAAUACUGGCGACUGCG
rnacentral:tRNA from 2 species